GACGUAGGAGGCGAGCGUUGUCCGGAUUCAUUGGGCGUAAAGAGCACGCAGGCGGUUUGGCAAGUCGGAUGUGAAAACCCGGAGCUCAACUCCGGACCUGCAUCCGAAACUGCCCGACUAGAGGUAGGUAGGGGAGAUCGGAAUUCCUGGUGUAGCGGUGAAAUGCGCAGAUAUCAGGAAGAACACCCGUGGCGAAGGCGGCUCUCUGGGACGGUACUGACGCUGAGACGCGAAAGCGUGGGGAGCGAACAGG
rnacentral:rRNA from 1 species